ACUUACGGCCAUAUUUGCCUGGGUACGCCCGAUCUCGUCUGAUCUCGGAAGCUAAGCAGGGUCGGGCCUGGUUAGUACUUGGAUGGGAGACCGCCUGGGAAUACCAGGUGCUGUAAGCA
rnacentral:rRNA from 1 species